CUAUAGUCUUUUUUUUCUAAUUACUGGUAUUUAAUUUUUCAGUUUAAUGUAUGUUCUCCCUCAUUUUCUGUAUUUAUUGAAUCUCUCAGCCGCUGCCGCAACCAUCGCCGGCCAAAAAUUCUUUUUCCCCUUCCUUUUCUCACUCCUCUAGCUUGGUAUUCUAGAGUUUUGUGAGAUUUUACUUCUGCAAUUCUCACUUUUUCUCUCCUCCAGCUUGGUAUUCCAGGGCUUGACAAAAUUUUGUGAUUUUAUUUCGAAAAAUUCGUCUUUAUUUAUGAAAUUCGGGCUUGAUUUUCAGCGAGAUCAAUGAAAUUUUCUCAUCGCUUCAAUAAAUUAAAGAAAUGUUGCAAAAGACAGUCAAAAUAAUAAAGAAGAAACGAUUUCUAGGCUUUCCUCAAAAUUCCAUGCAAAUUGGUGAAAUUGGCGAUUCGUAGAAGGAUUAAUAAUGAAUGCAUUAGUUGCAAGCCCAUGGAAGAGGUAGAAGACCCCCAAAUUAAAGACAAUGAAGUUUUGAUCAAAAUUGAAGCAAUUACGCUUAAACGUGCAAAUAUCAUUUAGAGGAAGGACUCUUUGGAACUAUCCUGGUCUACAAUGUUCUGGAACUAUCCUUCAAUUUGGCAACAAUGUCACUCGCUAGAGAGUUGGUGAUUAGGUUACAAAUUUUACCUUUUCUGCUUUAAUUUUCCAAUUAUUUGCUAUUGCUUGAAGUUUUGUGAUUUGGGUUUUCAUAAUUUUUAAUAAAAGUUAUAAUAUUGACAAUAUUUUAUUUGUAGGGUGUGAUUAACUAGUAGUUUUGUUCUGUCUGCGAUUAAAUUGAUUGAUUUAUCAUAUGUUAGUUUGUGCAUUUUCUCUUUGCAGUUGAUAUGGUUUAUUUCUAAAUAGAAAAUGAUAAAUGUUGGUUCAACAUGUUGUUGAUUGAUGGUAGUGGAGGUAAGCUAAAUAUUGUUAUAUAAGCUGGUUGUCUGAUUGAUGCAGUAGAAUGACUAGUAAUGCUAAAGAUGAAAUGCAUGUAGAGCUGGCCAAAAUUGCCUUUGACAGAUUUGAUUUUACCAUCUAAAGUUUCUUGUAUCACAUUUUGAACCAUGUAGAUCCUAAAGGGAAAUUAUCAUGACUAGAUAUGCAUUUAAUGUUAAUAUUUAUACAACAUGGGUCUUAAUUAAUUCAUUAUUACUUAUCGUUAUUCAUUAAAUAAAAAAGAAAUAUAUCUCAUGAAACUAACAAAAAAGAUUGUGUGGGCAUAUUUGAAUUGCUAUGUAUCAAAAAUUACAAAAUUACUUUUAGUGCAAUCGUAACAUAAUUUGAAUGUGGCUAUAUCCUCUUAAUCUAGUAUGGUAGUUCAUUUUAUACACAAAUCUAUAAUUCCUUAUUUCUGUAUAAUUGCACUUUACUAGUUCAAAAAUUUGGUAUGAAGUGUACGUUUAGUUUAUCUAUUGUCAGUGUUCUAAUUUAGAAUUUUAGAGUAAGUAUGGCGUUUGAGUUAUACUUGUUAUGAUUUUUUUGAAGGUACAAUUCUCUUUUGGUAGAGAAUGAGUCAUACGUACAUACUUUUUUCUUAAAGUAUUGGGCAGAUUUCCGUAAUCUGAUCUUGUUGCAGCUAGAGUUACCAAUUAGUUAUUGAUUUAAUACUCUACAAUUGUUAGCUUCUACAUAAUGAAUUUACAAAUAUACAUAGUUUCAUGAGCUAAUAUAAAUUAGAUCAUUAUCAUCCAAAUAUAUCAAAAGUCAAAAUCACAAAGCAAUACUGAAGGAAUUUUGGAAUUAAGAUAGUGUGAUUAACAAAAUGUGAACCACGAGGCUCACUACUUGCAAAUUUUAAUUGUGAAAUAAUUAGUGCAAAGAAUUUUGAUUUCUAACAUUUGUGAGUCAAGUUGGUGGUAGUAGGCCUAGUAGCCUUUUUAGCGUUUUAUCUGUGUACUUCUAAUUUAUAAGGGAAGGCAAAAGGAAGCUUCUAUACGAUCAACUGUCAAGGGCCUUGAGAUAGUUUGUUGUGACUUGUGAGACUAGAGGAGCCUACCAAAUUUUGUUGAUCAAUUUGACUAGUACACUUUUCUUUUUAGUCUACAUUUGAUUUUUUUUAUAUAUAUCAUUCUCUUUUGUAUUGUAAGAUUUUGUGAGUGCCCCGUUCUUUUUAGUCGAUUAGAAGUUCUAAACAUAUCAGUAAACCAUCUGCUUGUGGAACUUACCUAUCCACCAUAUUGGAUAACUGCAAAGGUGAAAAUUUUCUUUUUUAUAUGUUCUAAUAUUGCUUUCGUAAUUCCAUGAAUCAAUAAUCAAAUCAAUUCUCUUAGUCUUACUAUGCAGGACUUUAAAGUCUGAAUAUUGAACGAUGUUCGAUCACGUACGAAACAAUUCAAAUAGUUGCUAAUUUGUUGGAUUUUGGUUAUGUACUGUCUCAGAUCUCUUAGUGGGUAAAUAACUUGGUCAAUAUGUUAUUUUUGAUACUUUUUCAUCCUUUAAUUGAGCUUCUAACAUAAAUCUCUUUUUUUUUGGCAGGACAUAACAGCCCUAUAUUCAUUAACUCUUUAUCCAACUGACUAUCAAAUCUUGGGAAGCUAUAAAGAGGAUAUACUCCCACCCCAACAGACAAUACUCACAAAAAGGGAGGCAGCAGCGGAAGGAGGAUGUGAAUGAUCGUGUUUAUGCAUUGUUUAAGCAUUGUAGUUGUAUUUUAUUUUAAUGAAAUUGUAAUAAUUUUUUAUUUUGACACAAUGAAAUUGUAAUAUUACAAGAAUUUAUUUAUAAUAAAAUCUAAGUUUAUUUAUAUACAUUGGUUUGUUUAUCAAUUUUAGUGAAAAAAAGCAAAAAAGUUAUUAUUUUUUUUUUUUUUUUUUGGCAUAAAGGGCACUGACCUAUCUAAAAAACAAACCGGUGCAUAUAA